rnacentral:rRNA from 1 species
AGAGUUUGAUCAUGGCUCAGAGUGAACGCUGGCGGUAGGCCUAACACAUGCAAGUCGAACGGUAGCACAGAGGAGCUUGCUCCUUGGGUGACGAGUGGCGGACGGGUGAGGAAUGCAUCGGAAUCUACUCUUUCGUGGGGGAUAACGUAGGGAAACUUACGCUAAUACCGCAUACGACCUACGGGUGAGAGCAGGGGACCUUUUAGGCCUUGCGCGAUUGAAUGAGCCGAUGCCCGAUUAGCUAGUUGGCGGGGUAAUGGCCCACCAAGGCGACGAUCGGUAGCUGGUCUGAGAGGAUGAUCAGCCACACUGGAACUGAGACACGGUCCAGACUCCUACGGGAGGCAGCAGUGGGGAAUAUUGGACAAUGGGCGCAAGCCUGAUCCAGCCAUACCGCGUGGGUGAAGAAGGCCUUCGGGUUGUAAAGCCCUUUUGUUGGGAAAGAAAAGCAGCCGGCUAAUACCCGGUUGUUCUGACGGUACCCAAAGAAUAAGCACCGGCUAACUUCGUGCCAGCAGCCGCGGUAAUACGAAGGGUGCAAGCGUUACUCGGAAUUACUGGGCGUAAAGCGUGCGUAGGUGGUUGUUUAAGUCUGUCGUGAAAGCCCUGGGCUCAACCUGGGAACUGCGAUGGAAACUGGGCGACUAGAGUGUGGUAGAGGGUAGCGGAAUUCCUGGUGUAGCAGUGAAAUGCGUAGAUAUCAGGAGGAACAUCCAUGGCGAAGGCAGCUACCUGGGCCAACACUGACACUGAGGCACGAAAGCGUGGGGAGCAAACAGGAUUAGAUACCCUGGUAGUCCACGCCCUAAACGAUGCGAACUGGAUGUUGGGUGCACUUUGGCACGCAGUAUCGAAGCUAACGCGUUAAGUUCGCCGCCUGGGGAGUACGGUCGCAAGACUGAAACUUAAAUGAAUUGACGG